rnacentral:rRNA from 1 species
AUUGAACGCUGGCGGCAGGCUUAACACAUGCAAGUCGAGCGGAGCGGCGGACGGGUGAGUAAUGCUUAGGAAUCUUCCUAUUAGUGGGGGACAACAUCCCGAAAGGUAUGCUAAUACCGCAUACUAAAAGAUGAGCUUAAGUCGGAUUGGGUAGUUGGUGGGGUAAAGGCCUACCAAGGAGACGAUCUGUAGCGGGUCUGAGAGGAUGAUCCACCAAACGUGGACUGAGUAACGACCCAGACUCCUACGGGAGGCAGCAGUGGGGAUUAUUGGACAAGGGGGGGAACCUUGAGCCAGCCAUGCCGCGUGUGUGAAGAAGGCCUUAUGGUUGUAAAGCACUUUAAGCGAGGAGGCGUUACUCGCAGAAUAAGCACCGGCUAACGCUGUGACAGCAGCCGCGGUAAUUC